UACGUACGAGGCGAGCGUUAUCCGGAAUUACUGGGCGUAAAGCGCGCGCAGGCGGACCAUUAAGUUGGGCGUGAAAUCUCCCGGCCUAACUGGGAGGGGUCGCCCAAGACUGGUGGUCUUGAGGACAGCAGAGGUGGGUGGAAUUCCUGGUGUAGUGGUGAAAUGCGUAGAUAUCUGGAAGAACACCAAAGGCGAAGGCAGUGUCCUGGGUGGUCGCUGACGCUGAGAGGCGAAAGCCAGGGGAGCGAACGGG
rnacentral:rRNA from 1 species